GUAGGUGGCAAGCGUUGUCCGGAUUUAUUGGGCGUAAAGGGAGCGCAGGCGGUCUUUUAAGUCUGAAUGUGAAAGCCCUCAGCUUAACUGAGGAAGAGCAUCGGAAACUGAAAGACUUGAGUGCAGAAGAGGAGAGUGGAACUCCAUGUGUAGCGGUGAAAUGCGUAGAUAUAUGGAAGAACACCAGUGGCGAAGGCGGCUCUCUGGUCUGUUACUGACGCUGAGGCUCGAAAGCAUGGGUAGCGAACAGGAUUAGAUACCCUGGUAGUCCAUGCCGUAAACGAUGAGUGCUAAGUGUUGGGAGGUUUCCGCCUCUCAGUGCUGCAGCUAACGCAUUAAGCACUCCGCCUGGGGAGUACGACCGCAAGGUUA
rnacentral:rRNA from 1 species